GGUACAGUACUAUUUCGGUAUUUCCAUUACAGAAGCAAGCCAGAACCCAGAGCUUACUGCAAACUAUCAAUCCCUAUAAACAUUCGACCUAGGAUAAUACUAAAAACCAUUUAAAUCCCUCAAAAACAAUUGCGACUAAUCAACCUAUAUCAAUUAAAGGUUAAAGUUUUGCCAUUCAACCAUAGAUGAUGUGCUCCGCAGUUUUCCUAAGCGACAAAAUAAAAAACCAAGUAAAGAGACUAAGCACCAUAUACCAUUAAAACUUGCCAUAAAUCCAACAAAAUUCAUAACGUUUAUCAGAAAAAACAAUUAAUUGCCCAUACAAAAAGUCACCAAAUCAAACAACCCAAAUGUACCUUAAAUGAAAAAAAAAGAAGAAGAGCAAGAGAAUGUAAUAAUUCAAAACUUGCAAUCCACCAAGGGAACCAACAAAAC
rnacentral:misc_RNA from 1 species